rnacentral:rRNA from 1 species
GAUGAACGCUGGCGGCGUGCCUAAUACAUGCAAGUCGAGCGAACGGACGAGAAGCUUGCUCCUCUGAUGUUAGCGGCGGACGGGUGAGUAACACGUGGAUAACCUACCUAUAAGACUGGGAUAACUUCGGGAAACCGUAGCUAAUACCGGAUAAUAUUUUGAACCGCAUGGUUCAAAAGUGAAAGACGGUCUUGCUGUCACUUAUAGAUGGAUCCGCGCUGCAUUAGCUAGUUGGUAAGGUAACGGCUUACCAAGGCAACGAUGCAUAGCCGACCUGAGAGGGUGAUCAGCCACACUGGAACUGAGACACGGUCCAGACUCCUACGGGAGGCAGCAGUAGGGAAUCUUCCGCAAUGGGCGAAAGCCUGACGGAGCAACGCCGCGUGAGUGAUGAAGGUCUUCGGAUCGUAAAACUCUGUUAUUAGGGAAGAACAUAUGUGUAAGUAACUGCGCACAUCUUGACGGUACCUAAUCAGAAAGCCACGGCUAACUACGUG